rnacentral:rRNA from 1 species
CUCGCCCUUUUUUUCAAAACAUGUCUUUUAGAUUAAUAAUUUAAAGUCUGAUCUGCCCACUGAUAUAAAAAUUAAAGGGCUGCAGUAUAUUGACUGUACAAAGGUAGCAUAAUCAAUAGUCUUUUAAUUGAAGACUUGUAUGAAAGAUUUGAUGAAAAAUAAGCUGUCUCUGAUUUAAAAUUAGAAUUUAAUUUUUUAGUUAAAAAGCUAAAAUUUAUUUAAAAGACGAGAAGACCCUAUAGAGUUUUAUAUUAUUUUUAUUUAAGAUUAUAUUUAUAAUUAAUAAUUAAAAAUAAUAAUAAUAUUUUAUUGGGGUGAUAGAAAAAUUAAAAUAACUUUUUUUAAAUUAAAACAUAAAUAAGUGAAAUUAUGAUCCAUAAUUAAUGAUUAAAAGAAAAAAUUACCUUAGGGAUAACAGCGUAAUAUUUUUUUUUAGUACAAAUAAGAAAAAAAGUUUGCGACCUCGAUGUUGGAUUAAGAUAAAAGUUAAAUGCAAAAGUUUAAAUUUUUGAUCUGUUCGAUCAUUAAAAUCUUACAUGAUCUGAG